UCUGUGAUGUCACCUUGAGUUGGAACUUUAUCCUACACUUGAUGGGCUCCUCUCCUGAGUGGGAAGGCAAGGAAAUAGGGGCUUACCACCCAAAAGAUGGGAGGCAGAAGAUACCCACCUGAGUUGCCCAGAGCCCACAGUGUUUGCUUUCUCACCACUCCGGACUCCACCUUUGAGCUCUUUGCGAGAGAUGUGGAUAUCCAGCUUUGAACAAUCCAAGAAAGAAGCCCAGGCACUAAGCUUAUUGGUAUUUGGCAAACCUGGUAUCCUGCAGCCGAGCAUGAACAUGAAAUACAUUAGAACUUGGCAAUGAGAGAUCCCAUCUGUUGGUUUCCAGGGAUGUAAGUGAGUAAUAAAAGCUGUUUCAAGUUUAUCCACUAUCC
rnacentral:lncRNA from 1 species